rnacentral:rRNA from 1 species
UUUGGCGAAAAGAAGGACCACUUUUACUUAACUUAGCUAUAAGUUAAUAUUUCAGGUGGUGGCACAAAAUCGGAGGCCCCGACUGUUUACUUAAAACAUAAGAAUCUGCAAUGAUUAAUAUCGUGGUAUAGGUUCUGAAAUUUGCCCAAUGCCAUUAAUAUAAGUGCGGUAAUGAGAGUUACUAAUCGAAUGUCUGGUUAAUAGCGGUCUUAACUAUGAGGAUCCAAAGGUAGCAAAAUCAGUUGGCCAUUAAAUGUGGUCUUGUAUCAAUAAUGUAACGAUGGCCUCACUGUCUCUACAAGUCGCUCAGUGAAAUUGAAUUGUGAGUGCAGAUGCUCACUACCUCCGGGGGGACGGGAA